GAGACGGUUCUCUAAGAGGCCCGUCAUCGGAAUGGGUACAAUAUAAAUCCUUUAACGAGGAUCUAUUGGAGGGCAAGUCUGGUGCCAGCAGCCGCGGUAAUUCCAGCUCCAAAAGCGUAUAUUAAAGUUGUUGCGGUUAAAAAGCUCGUAGUUGGAUCUGCGCUCUAGGUUUGCGGUCCCCUAAAUGGGAGGUACUGCUUUACCUGGGCUAUUUUCUCUGGUUUUCCCUCUGUGCUCUUCGCCGAGUGCUCUGGG
rnacentral:rRNA from 1 species